AUUGAACGCUGGCGGCAGGCCUAACACAUGCAAGUCGAGCGGAUGAAGGGAGCUUGCUCCUGGAUUCAGCGGCGGACGGGUGAGUAAUGCCUAGGAAUCUGCCUGGUAGUGGGGGAUAACGUCCGGAAACGGGCGCUAAUACCGCAUACGUCCUGAGGGAGAAAGUGGGGGAUCUUCGGACCUCACGCUAUCAGAUGAGCCUAGGUCGGAUUAGCUAGUUGGUGGGGUAAAGGCCUACCAAGGCGACGAUCCGUAACUGGUCUGAGAGGAUGAUCAGUCACACUGGAACUGAGACACGGUCCAAGCUCCUACGGGAGGCAGCAGUGGGGAAUAUUGGACAAUGGGCGAAAGCCUGAUCCAGCCAUGCCGCGUGUGUGAAGAAGGUCUUCGGAUUGUAAAGCACUUUAAGUUGGGAGGAAGGGCAGUAAGUUAAUACCUUGCUGUUUUGACGUUACCAACAGAAUAAGCACCGGCUAACUUCGUG
rnacentral:rRNA from 1 species